rnacentral:rRNA from 1 species
UUCCGGUUGAUCCUGCCGGACCCGACUGCUAUCAGAGUGAGAUUAAGCCAUGCGAGUUAACGUAGCAAUACGUGGCGCACGGCUCAGUAACACGUAGUCAACAUGCCCAGAGGACGUGGAUAACCUCGGGAAACUGUGUCUAAACCGCGAUAAGUGAGGAUUUCUGGAAUGGUUCCUGACUAAAAUCUAUAUGGCCUCUGGAUUGGACUGCGGCCGAUCAGGCUGUUGGUGAGGUAAUGGCCCACCAAACCUGUAACCGGUACGGGCUCUGAGAGGAGGAGCCCGGAGAUGGGCACUGAGACAAGGGCCCAGGCCCUAUGGGGCGCAGCAGGCGCGAAACCUCUGCAAUAGGCGAAAGCCUGACAGGGUUACUCUGAGUGACUUUCGCUAAGAAAGUCUUUUGGCACCUCUAAAAAGGGUGCAGAAUAAGGGGUGGGCAAGUCUGGUGUCAGCCGCCGCGGUAAUACCAGCACCCCGAGUGGUCGGGACGAUUAUUGGGCCUAAAGCAUCCGUAGCCGGUUCUGCAAGUCCCCCGUUAAAUCCAGCUGCUCAACAGAUGGGCCGCGGAGGAUACUACAGAGCUAGGAGGCAGGAGAGGCAAGCGGUACUCAGUGGGUAGGGGUAAAAUCCGUUGAUCCAUUGAAGACCACCAGUGGCGAAGGCGGCUUGCCAGAAUGCGCUCGACGGUGAGGGAUGAAAGCUGGGGGAGCAAACCGGAUUAGAUACCCGGGUAGUCCCAG